UUAUUGACCCAAACCAGCUCGCACCAAUUGUAGAUGACAUUCUGAACAGGUACACACCAAGCUACAUUGGUGCAAACUACCACAGAAAGUUUCCCAUGUUCAGUGUGGCCGUGAGCGUCCCGUACAAUGAACAAACAAACAUGUUUGAUAUGAAUGGAGUCCCUGAUGGUGGUGAAGUUGUGAGGGAGACGAUUCUAGACUGUGACGUAUACAAAGGUAACAGAGUGAUGGCAGCCACAGUGCUGAGAUGGCCCAAUGUUCUCGAUCAGUGUCCUGAUGCUCGUGUACAGUGGACCGAUGUUUUGCGGAAAUGUCGUAAACAGGACAUGACAUGGAAUGAUGUUAAGUUGUGUCGUAACAUUAACAUGCGGAAUGGCAGAGCUGAUCAUGCAGAGUUUCGAACCCUGCAGCAUGUCAA